UACAGAGGAUGCAAGCGUUGUCCGGAAUUACUGGGCGUAAAGCGUGCGCAGGCGGCUUCUCAAGUCAGGGGUGAAAGCCCAGAGCUCAACUCUGGAAUUGCCUUUGAGACUGAGUGGCUUGAGUACGGGAGAGGUGAGUGGAAUUCCCAGUGUAGAGGUGAAAUGCGUAGAGAUCCGGAGGAACCCCAGAGGCGAAGGCGACGCCCUGGCUCGUACCUGACGCUCAGCCACGAAAGCAUGGGGAGCGAACGGG
rnacentral:rRNA from 1 species